rnacentral:rRNA from 1 species
GAUGAACGCUGGCGGCGUGCCUAAUACAUGCAAGUCGAGCGAACGGACGAGAAGCUUGCUUCUCUGAUGUUAGCGGCGGACGGGUGAGUAACACGUGGAUAACCUACCUAUAAGACUGGGAUAACUUCGGGAAACCGGAGCUAAUACCGGAUGAUAUUUUGAACCGCAUGGUUCAAAAGUGAAAGACGGUCUUGCUGUCACUUAUAGAUGGAUCCGCGCUGCAUUAGCUAGUUGGUAAGGUAACGGCUUACCAAGGCAACGAUGCAUAGCCGACCUGAGAGGGUGAUCCGCCACACUGGACCUGAGACACGGUCCCGACUCCUACGGUCGGCCGCAGUAGGGAAUCUUCCGCACUGGGCGAAAGCCUGACGGAGCAACGCCGCGUGAGUGAUGAAGGUCUUCGGAUCGUAAAACUCUGUUAUUAGGGAAGAACAUAUGUGUAAGUAACUGUGCACAUCUUGACGGUACCUAAUCAGAAAGCCACGGCUAACUACGUG